CCUACGGGUGGCAGCAGUGGGGAAUAUUGCGCAAUGGGCGAAAGCCUGACGCAGCGACGCCGCGUGAGGGAUGAAGGUCUUCGGAUCGUAAACCUCUGUCAGCAUGGAAGAACGGUCACUGUGCUAAUCAGCAGUGAAUUGACGGUACCUGCAAAGGACGCACCGGCUAACUCCGUGCCAGCAGCCGCGGUAAUACGGAGGGUGCGAGCGUUAAUCGGAAUUACGGGGCGUAAAGCGCUCGUAGGCGGUAUGUCAAGUCAAGGGUGAAAUCCCCGCGCUCAACGCGGGAACUGCCUUUGAAACUGGCAAACUGGAGUGUGUGAGAGGAUAGUGGAAUUCCAGGUGUAGGAGUGAAAUGCGUAGAUAUCUGGAGGAACAUCAGUGGCGAAGGCGACUAUCUGGCACAUAACUGACGCUGAGGAGCGAAAGCGUGGGUAGCAAACAGGAUUAGAUACCCGAGUAGUC
rnacentral:rRNA from 1 species